AGCCUGGUUUCAGUUGCUGCGAGAGCAUCUCUCUCUUAGACCAACAUCCUGCAUCCUAUAAGAAGCAGGGGACAUGACAUUUCAGAUAUACUCUUCCACUGAUGCUUGGAGCUCACCAAAGAGGUAAGACUGGCUUGGCAGUGAACCCCAGGCAUCCUCUGUGUACCUCCCAGUACAGGAUUACAAGUGUGAAUUCUGUGGAUCAGUUGUGGGUCCUCAUGCUUGCAAGUCCUUGGAUUUGGACUGUCCUUUAAGACACAGCUAAUCUUCAGCAUGUAACCCAGGUGGUAUUCUUAGACUUUCUGUGGAGUGUGGUCUCUUCUCCUGUUCUCUGGAGUGCUAUUCUUUCAAGAACGUUCUUUUGAGACCCACUUCCCUGCUAGAAAAGCCCAAAGCACUUGGAAAUAAAAGGAGCAAAGGAGCUCACAGCCCAGCUCAGAGGGCUCUGCUUCACGAGGUUAAUACUGAUCUUCAUCUCCACGGGAAUUAGAACCACCCAGAAAACAAACUUCUGGGCAUAUCUGUAAAGAAGUCUCAGACAGAGUUAACUGGGAUGGGAAGCCCAGCUCUUAAAAUGACAGUACCCUGCCAUGACCUGGGUUCCUGGACUGGAGAGAAAGGAGGUGAGCUGAGACACAGCGUUCACUGCUCUCUUCUCAGCGGCUGAUGCCCCAUGACCACCUGCUUCAGGCUGCCGCCGCCAUGCCUUCCUUACCAGGAUGGUUUCUACCCUUGAACGAUGAACCAGAAGCCCUUCCUUCAUUAAUUUGCAUUUGUCAGAUAUUUUAUCAUUGCAAUAAAAAGUAAACAAAA